GUCUUCGGCCAUACCACCCUGAACGCACCCGAUCUCAUUUGUUCUCGGAAGCUAAGCAGGGUCGGGCCUGGUUAGUACUUGGAUGGGAGACCGCCUGGGAAUACUGGGUGCUGUAGGCU
rnacentral:rRNA from 1 species